UGGGGAAUAUUGGACAAUGGGCGCAAGCCUGAUCCAGCCACGCCGCGUGAGUGAUGAAGGCCUUCGGGUCGUAAAGCUCUGUGGGGAGGGACGAACCGCUGUGCGUUCAUAGCGCGCAGCAUGACGGUACCUCCUUAGCAAGCACCGGCUAACUUCGUGCCAGCAGCCGCGGUAAUACGAAGGGUGCAAACGUUGCUCGGAAUUAUUGGGCGUAAAGCGCACGUAGGCGGCUUUGUGUGUCGGAUGUGAA
rnacentral:rRNA from 1 species